AAGAUACUCCCUCUGUCCAGAAAUACUUGUCGGAGGAAUGGAUGUAUCUAGAUGUAUUUUAGUUCUAGAUACUUUCAUUUUUAUGCAUUUAUUCGACAAGUAUUUAGGGGCGGAGGGAGUAUUUA
rfam:Triticum aestivum genome assembly, contig: Triticum_aestivum_CS42_TGACv1_scaffold_224310_3B